rnacentral:rRNA from 1 species
UUGAUCCUGGCUCAGGAUGAACGCUGGCGGCGUGCCUAAUACAUGCAAGUCGAGCGAAUGAUGAGGAGCUUGCUCCUCUGAUUUAGCGGCGGACGGGUGAGUAACACGUGGGUAAUCUGCCUGUAAGACGGGGAUAACUCCGGGAAACCGGGGCUAAUACCGGAUAAUAAGAGAAGAAGCAUUUCUUCUUUUUGAAAGUCGGUUUCGGCUGACACUUACAGAUGAGCCCGCGGCGCAUUAGCUAGUUGGUGAGGUAACGGCUCACCAAGGCGACGAUGCGUAGCCGACCUGAGAGGGUGAUCGGCCACACUGGGACUGAGACACGGCCCAGACUCCUACGGGAGGCAGCAGUAGGGAAUCUUCGGCAAUGGGCGAAAGCCUGACCGAGCAACGCCGCGUGAGCGAUGAAGGCCUUCGGGUCGUAAAGCUCUGUUGUUAGAGAAGAACAAGUACGAGAGUAACUGCUCGUACCUUGACGGUACCUAACCAGAAAGCCACGGCUAACUACGUGCCAGCAGCCGCGGUAAUAC